CCCACCUCUCUCGAAGGCAUCACGGAUCUCUGAGACCCGGAGCUGGGCACCCGACACCCGGAAGAUGCCUUCAUGCUGCAGGCCUGUGGGAGGACAAGGAGCUGGUGGGCACUGAGCAUCUUCCCCAGCCCCUCCAGGAUGGCCUCCCAUGCCAGGACCCCCAGUACCAUGCUGGCCAGAAGUCGCAGGGGAGAAGCUCUCAAUAUCUCGCCCCUAAAAAUGCCGCUGCCCCAGGUUUUCUAUACGUUCCCAUUACUAGUUAAGGAUGCUCCAUUCAAUCAGCGGAGGCUACAGGGGAGCCCAACUGCGGCCUGGAAGAGGCCCACCCAGAAAGGGACAGUUGAUGACUGAUUGAGAGUGCAGGACCCUGGGAUCAGGCAGCUGCUCUGGCCACUGAGGUGACCCAGAGCUGAAGAAAGACCAGCAUGUACAGCUUGGCGAGGAUGCUCCGUCCACUCAGAUACUCCUGGAGCUUCUGGGCAGCCCCAAGAAGAGCCCGAAGUGUUAGCCCUGUCUUGA